rnacentral:rRNA from 1 species
GACGAACGCUUGCGACGUGCCUAAGAAAUGCAAGUCGAACGGGGUCAUCCUUCGGGGUGGCCUAGUGGCGAACGGUCGCGUAACACGUGGGCAACCUGCCCUGAAGCGGGGGACAACACACCGAAAGGUGUGCUAAUACCGCAUGUGGAUCGCUGUGGCAUCACAGAUUAUCCAAAGCCGCAAGGCACUUCAGGAUGGGCCCGCGGCCUAUCAGCUAGUUGGUGAGGUAACGGCCCACCAAGGCUUCGACGGGUAGCUGGUCUGAGAGGACGAUCAG